rnacentral:lncRNA from 1 species
AUAGGUCCAUCUAUUGCCCAAUGAGGCCAUGAAUUGGGCCAUUUUCUGCCCUUCUAUUAGUUCAGAGCUUGUAAGAAAUACUCAUAUUUCCUCUUGAGGUAUAGGAAAAUUGUUAAGGCAUGUUUGGUUUGCUAUUGCGAACCUUUGACAAUGUAAAAAUCCAAACAUGCCUAACAGCACAUAACAAUUGAUUUGCAGCAUAUAGAUAUCCUUCUAUUCCAAAAUUUGAUAGCUCUAGAAACCUCCACUGAACAAUGCAUAACGUUCAGCAGAGCAAAGCCGCCAAAGCAGCAUACAUGAGAACCUCCACUUGACUGUAUCUGAUCUCAGGCCUCUCUUCUUGACAAGCUGUGCUAGUGGUCUUAGGAGGCCUAAUGAUUUCAUAUGAUAUCUUGAAGGUUUCGAUACUUGACUGACCAUCGAACUGCCUGGCGCGCUUCUAAUAACAUCCAGCAUCUCUUUCUCCAUCCUAUAACUUCUCCAUCAGCUCUGUUGUCAACAAGUUUCAGAUUCUGGAGAUGUGUGAGAUUCUCCAAGCCUUUUUUUGACGGAAGAAGGUAGAGCGUGCUCCACCUUAUAAUCAUUUCAUUAAUAGAAAUGAGGUUUCCAAGUUACAAGUUACUAGAGGUUAUAGUUAACCUAGAACAGAAGGAAAAAAGAAGAAAAGGAAGAAGAGAAGAGACAAAAAUAAAAAGAAAAGAGAAAGGGUGGUGGAUUUACAAAGAUAUAAACAAGGGUUCUUGUGGUGAUAGUUAACUGAUUCUCCAAGCCUUGUGGUGAAUCAGUUAGCUGGGUGCACCGGCCAGGCACCAGUUCAUGUAGCCCUACAAGGCAUCCUAUCUAAAACUCCAUCUGACUAAGCCUAUCUACUAGUAUCGCCGGGGAUUCCAACGAGAUAGUGGUAGGAUGUAUGGAAGCUUGGCUCCGGUGGAUCUCAAUGGAUUGAAGGCUAGAUCUUGGCUAGGCUUCAUGGGUGUCAUGGCUUGAAUCGAUUGUUGUUCUGUUGGGUUCUUUCUCCAGCCCUCUUUUGGGGCUAGGCCUUUAUACCCUUAGGCCCUCUCGUAUCAUAGGACUCAGUGAUAUACUAGGUAGUCUUCGACUCAAUUUUGAUCGAGUCUGAGUAGAUCUCCCGUAGUUUUCCUUAAAUAGGUCUUGCGUAGUUUUCUAUAAAAAUAUUUGUGUUAAGUCUUACAGGUAUGUCAUAUUUUCAACACCGACAAUAGUCACUUUAAGAAAAAGAAUAACGGUUAAUUUACGGAAUGGGUAUGAAGGGGCUCAAAAUGGAACAUGGCAAUAUAGAAGAUUAGAUAAAACUUAGGACUAUGAAAGAAGGUGACAUCAUGUGAAUGUUUGUGACAGCAUUGGGCGCGACCUGUGAGGUUGGGAAGAGAGGAGAGAAGAGGGGAAGAGGAGGAUGAAGGAAGGAGGGAAAUUUGGUCCAAAUCUUUUUGCAAAUUUAUCCAAGGGGUAAGUAGUGUCAUAUUCCAACACCGACCAAAUUGUAACAAUGGUUUACAAAUACAUGAAUUAUAAUCGCAUAUUUUGAAAUAGGCAAAUUUGUAAUGGCAUACAUCCAAAUAUCCAAGUAACCCUCUGAAACAAACACCUAGCGCCAACAAGCAGGCACACUAAUGUGUGGGGACGUUGGGGGAAUCAACGACAUCAAGCUGCUCAGGCCUGACUCGGUCCUCCAGUUGGCAAGCAGAGGGGGCAAGGAGAGCACCGGCGCUAUGGUGGAGACAAAGAGAGGUGGCUAGUGGCAGCGAAGUAGAUGGCAGUGGCGGGGCGGGCGUAUGGUGCAAUGGCGACUUGAUGGAAUCUAGCGAGGGCAUGAUGUCCUAGAAGUAGAUCGAGGCCGUGCAAUCCAAUGAUGAAGGUGCUCGGUUUGGCUCAGAACAUGAUGGUGACAGGCAAACAACAGUACACAAGAACAAAACCGCGUUCCCGGUGAACCGCUGCAUGAAUCAUCAACAUUGUGGAGGGUAAAGAGCAUGAACCAACGGAGCACGUUGUGACAUGGUAGGUUUUGCGAGAAACUCACCGUAGAGAGGGAUCGACGAGGAUGGAACUCGGGAUGGCAUGAAUGGUGGCCGCAAUAGAUUUUAGCGUUCCCGAACGUGGGAGGAUGAGAAAUAUGGCGAGAGGAGGUACCGACGGUGUCCUCGAGGAUGAGGUCCUCUUAGUCCACCCACUCCCUCUCCGGCCCCUUCCGCCGGCACCUCAUCCAAAAGCACAGUCAAACG